rnacentral:ncRNA from 1 species
GAAAGCCGUAUUCGGGAAAACCGAACGUACGGUUUGACGAGGGGGGGCUGGAGAUAGAACCAUUUGGCUACUACGCCAGCUCUCUACUCUAC